rnacentral:rRNA from 1 species
AAACUGGGAUUAGAUACCCCACUAUGCCUGACUGUAAAUUAUCAGCCAAAAAAGUACGAGCCUCACUUGAAACUUAAAGGACCUGGCGGUACUCUACACCGGCCUAGAGGGGCCUGUCCUAUAACCGAUAAUCCACGAAAAACCUUACCACCCCUUGCCACCAGCCUAUAUACCGCCGUCUCCAGCACAUUUUCCAAAAAAUGAGGCUAAAUAGUCCCACACACUAACACGUCAGGUCAAGGUGUAGCUUAUGAGGUGGAAGAGACGGACCACAAUACCACAACACACGGAAACCCCGUUGAAACACGAGGAAAAAGACGAAUUUAGCAGUAAGUGGAACAGAAUGCCCCACUGAACCACCCGCCCUAGAGUACGCACACACCGCCCGUCACCCU